rnacentral:rRNA from 1 species
AGGAAUAUUGGUCAAUGGGCGCAGGCCUGAACCAGCCAAGUAGCGUGAAGGAUGACUGCCCUAUGGGUUGUAAACUUCUUUUAUAAAGGAAUAAAGUCGGGUAUGUAUACCCGUUUGCAUGUACUUUAUGAAUAAGGAUCGGCUAACUCCGUGCCAGCAGCCGCGGUAAUACGGAGGAUCCGAGCGUUAUCCGGAUUUAUUGGGUUUAAAGGGAGCGUAGACGGGUCGUUAAGUCAGCUGUGAAAGUUUGGGGCUCAACCUUAAAAUUGCAGUUGAUACUGGCGUCCUUGAGUACGGUUGAGGCAGGCGGAAUUCGUGGUGUAGCGGUGAAAUGCUUAGAUAUCACGAAGAACCCCGAUUGCGAAGGCAGCCUGCUAAACCGCCACUGACGUUGAGGCUCGAAAGUGUGGGUAUCAAACAGGAUUAGAUACCCUGGUAGUCCACACGGUAAACGAUGGAUACUCGCUGUUGGCGAUAGACUGUCAGCGGCUUAGCGAAAGCGUUAAGUAUCCCACCUGGGGAGUACGCCGGCAACGGUGAAACUCAAAGGAAUUGACGGGGGCCCGCACAAGCGGAGGAACAUGUGGUUUAAUUCGAUGAUACGCGAGGAACCUUACCCGGGCUUAAAUUGCAGAUGAAUUACGGUGAAAGCCGUAAGCCGCAAGGCAUCUGUGAAGGUGCUGCAUGGUUGUCGUCAGCUCGUGCCGUGAGGUGUCGGCUUAAGUGCCAUAACGAGCGCAACCCUUGUUGUCAGUUACUAACAGGUUCCGCUGAGGACUCUGACAAGACUGCCAUCGUAAGAUGUGAGGAAGGUGGGGAUGACGUCAAAUCAGCACGGCCCUUACGUCCGGGGCUACACACGUGUUACAAUGGGGGGUACAGAGGGCCGCUACCACGCGAGUGGAUGCCAAUCCCCAAAACCUCUCUCAGUUCGGACUGGAGUCUGCAACCCGACUCCACGAAGCUGGAUUCGCUAGUAACCGCGCAUCAGCCACGGCGCGGUGAAUACGUUCCCG